GUACACACCGCCCGUCGCUCCUACCGAUUGAAACCAACGGUGAAAAAUUCGGAGAGAGUGGAUUUAGAAAUAGAUUUACGAUUGAAGUUUUUUAAAUCUUUUGUUUUAGAGGAAGGAGAAGUCGUAACAAGGUUUUCGUAGGUGAACCUGCAGAAGGAUCA
rnacentral:rRNA from 1 species